UUGAACGCUGGCGGCAGGCCUAACACAUGCAAGUCGAACGGUAGCACAGAGAGCUUGCUCUUGGGUGACGAGUGGCGGACGGGUGAGUAAUGUCUGGGAAACUGCCCGAUGGAGGGGGAUAACUACUGGAAACGGUAGCUAAUACCGCAUAACGUCUUCGGACCAAAGUGGGGGACCUUCGGGCCUCACACCAUCGGAUGUGCCCAGAUGGGAUUAGCUAGUAGGUGGGGUAAUGGCUCACCUAGGCGACGAUCCCUAGCUGGUCUGAGAGGAUGACCAGCCACACUGGAACUGAGACACGGUCCAGACUCCUACGGGAGGCAGCAGUGGGGAAUAUUGCACAAUGGGCGCAAGCCUGAUGCAGCCAUGCCGCGUGUAUGAAGAAGGCCUUCGGGUUGUAAAGUACUUUCAGCGGGGAGGAAGGCGGUGGAGUUAAUAGCUUCAUCGAUUGACGUUACCCGCAGAAGAAGCACCGGCUAACUCCGUGCCAGCAGCCGCGGUAAUACGGAGGGUGCAAGCGUUAAUCGGAAUUACUGGGCGUAAAGCGCACGCAGGCGGUCUGUCAAGUCGGAUGUGAAAUCCCCGGGCUUAACCUGGGAACUGCAUUCGAAACUGGCAGGCUAGAGUCUUGUAGAGGGGGGUAGAAUUCCAGGUGUAGCGGUGAAAUGCGUAGAGAUCUGGAGGAAUACCGGUGGCGAAGGCGGCCCCUGGACAAAGACUGACGCUCAGGUGCGAAAGCGUGGGGAGCAAACAGGAUUAGAUACCCUGGUAGUCCACGCCGUAAACGAUGUCGACUUGGAGGUUGUGCCCUUGAGGCGUGGCUUCCGGAGCUAACGCGUUAAGUCGACCGCCUGGGGAGUACGGCCGCAAGGUUAAAACUCAAAUGAAUUGACGGGGGCCCGCACAAGCGGUGGAGCAUGUGGUUUAAUUCGAUGCAACGCGAAGAACCUUACCUACUCUUGACAUCCAGCGAAUUCGGUAGAGAUACCUUAGUGCCUUCGGGAACGCUGAGACAGGUGCUGCAUGGCUGUCGUCAGCUCGUGUUGUGAAAUGUUGGGUUAAGUCCCGCAACGAGCGCAACCCUUAUCCUUUGUUGCCAGCGGUCCGGCCGGGAACUCAAAGGAGACUGCCAGUGAUAAACUGGAGGAAGGUGGGGAUGACGUCAAGUCAUCAUGGCCCUUACGAGUAGGGCUACACACGUGCUACAAUGGCGCAUACAAAGAGAAGCGACCUCGCGAGAGCAAGCGGACCUCAUAAAGUGCGUCGUAGUCCGGAUUGGAGUCUGCAACUCGACUCCAUGAAGUCGGAAUCGCUAGUAAUCGUAGAUCAGAAUGCUACGGUGAAUACGUUCCCGGGCCUUGUACACACCG
rnacentral:rRNA from 1 species